AUUAAGAUGGCAGAGCAGGUAAUUGCAUAAAACUUAUGCCUAUAUAAGCAAAGGUUCAAACCUUCUCCUUAACA
rnacentral:tRNA from 1 species